rnacentral:rRNA from 1 species
UGGGGAAUAUUGCACAAUGGGGGAAACCCUGAUGCAGCGACGCCGCGUGAACGAAGAAGGUAUUCGUAUCGUAAAGUUCUGUCCUAUGGGAAGAUAAUGACAGUACCAUAGAAGAAAGCUCCGGCUAAAUACGUGCCAGCAGCCGCGGUAAUACGUAUGGAGCGAGCGUUGUCCGGAAUUAUUGGGCGUAAAGGGUACGCAGGCGGUUUAAUAAGUCGAAUGUUAAAGAUCGGGGCUCAACCCCGCAAAGCAUUGGAAACUGAUAAGCUUGAGUAGUGGAGAGGAAAGUGGAAUUCCUAGUGUAGUGGUGAAAUACGUAGAUAUUAGGAGGAAUACCAGUAGCGAAGGCGACUUUCUGGACACAAACUGACGCUGAGGUACGAAAGCGUGGGGAGCAAACAGG